AGCAGCCGCGGUAAUUCCAGCUCCAAUAGCGUAUAUUAAAGUUGCUGCAGUUAAAAAGCUCGUAGUUGAAUUUCGGGACCAAUAUGUCGGUCGUGCCUCGGUACGUACUGGCAUCGUUGGUUUCUCCCUUCUGACGAACCAUGAUGUCAUUUAUUUGGUGUCGUGGGGAAUCAGGACUGUUACUUUGAAAAAAUUAGAGUGUUUAAAGCAGGCUCACGCUUGAAUACAUUAGCAUGGAAUAAUGAAAUAGGACGUUUGAUUCUAUUUUGUUGGUUUCUAGGAUCGACGUAAUGAUUAAUAGGGAUAGUUGGGGGCAUUAGUAUUCAAUUGUCAGAGGUGAAAUUCUGGAUUUAUUGAAGACUAACUACUGCGAAAGCAUUUGCCAAGGAUGUUUUCAUUAAUCAAGAACGAAGUUAGGGGAUCGAAGGCGAUCAGAUACGCCCUAGUCUAACCGUAAACGAUGCCAAUAGCGAUCAGCGGGGUUAAAUUNUGACUCGCUGGAAGCUUACC
rnacentral:rRNA from 1 species